rnacentral:rRNA from 1 species
AACAACCGGGAUUGCUUAGUAACGGCGAGUGAAGCGGCAAAAGCUCAAAUUUGAAAUCUUGGCACCUUUGGUGUCCCGAGUUGUAAUUUGAAAGAAGUAACUUUGGGGGCUGAUCCUUGUCUAUGUUCCUUGGAACAGGACGUCAUAGAGGGUGAGAAUCCCGUGUGGCGAGGAAUUCAGUCCUAUGUAAAGUGCUUUCGACGAGUCGAGUUGUUUGGGAAUGCAGCUCUAAGUGGGUGGUAAAUUCCAUCUAAAGCUAAAUAUUGGCGAGAGACCGAUAGCGAACAAGUACAGUGAUGGAAAGAUGAAAAGAACUUUGAAAAGAGAGUGAAAAAGUACGUGAAAUUGUUGAAAGGGAAGGGCAUUUGAUCAGACAUGGUGUUUUGCGACCCUAGCUCCUUGUGGGUUGGGAUCUCGCAGCUCACUGGGCCAACAUCAGUUUUGGCGGUGGGAUAAAUCCUUAGGAAUGUGGCUUGUCUUCGGAGAAGUGUUAUAGCCUAGGGGAAUACCGCCAGCCGGGACUGAGGACUGCGACUUUUGUCAAGGAUGUUGGCAUAAUGGUUAAAUGCCGCCCGUCUUGA